rnacentral:lncRNA from 1 species
UCGAAUACCCCGAAAUCUACCCCGCUUACGGCGUAUGCCACGGCGGGCCCCGCGGGCACCUGUUGGUGGCGCGCGGUAUGCGUGAGCUUAGUGCAUGUGGGAUCGAAAGAUUUUUUUUUUUGCCUCCUGUGCCAGCUCUUAGCGCUUCCUGUGGGCCCCGUCGUCCUUCACGAGUUGAGAUAAAUAAAAUGAAACCUUGCCCGCAUGACAUUCGAACAA